rnacentral:rRNA from 1 species
GAUGAACGCUGGCGGCGUGCCUAAUACAUGCUAGUCGAGCGAACAGACGAGGAGCUUGCUCCUCUGACGUUAGCGGUGGACGGGUGAGUAACACGUGGAUAACCUACCUAUAAGACUGGGAUAACUUCGGGAAACCGGAGCUAAUACCGGAUAACAUGUUGAACCGCAUGGUUCAACAGUGAAAGACGGUCUUGCUGUCACUUAUAGAUGGAUCCGCGCCGCAUUAGCUAGUUGGUAAGGUAACGGCUUACCAAGGCAACGAUGCGUAGCCGACCUGAGAGGGUGAUCGGCCACACUGGAACUGAGACACGGUCCAGACUCCUACGGGAGGCAGCAGUAGGGAAUCUUCCGCAAUGGGCGAAAGCCUGACGGAGCAACGCCGCGUGAGUGAAGAAGGUCUUCGGAUCGUAAAACUCUGUUAUUAGGGAAGAACAAAUGUGUAAGUAACUAUGCACGUCUUGACGGUACCUAAUCAGAAAGCCACGGCUAACUACGUG